rnacentral:rRNA from 1 species
UACGUAGGGGGCAAGCGUUGUCCGGAAUCAUUGGGCGUAAAGCGCGUGUAGGCGGUUCGAUAAGUCUGCUGUGAAAGUCCAGGGCUCAACCCUGGGAUGCCGGUGGAUACUGUCGGGCUAGAGUACGGAAGAGGCGAGUGGAAUUCCCAGUGUAGAGGUGAAAUUCGUAGAUAUUGGGAAGAACACCAAUGGCGAAGGCAGCUCUCUGGACCGUUACUGACGCUGAGGCGCGAAAGCGUGGGGAGCAAACAGG